rnacentral:rRNA from 1 species
CGUGUGUGAUGAAGGUCUUAGGAUCGUAAAGCACUUUCGCCAGGGAUGAUAAUGACAGUACCUGGUAAAGAAACCCCGGCUAACUCCGUGCCAGCAGCCGCGGUAAUACGGAGGGGGUUAGCGUUGUUCGGAAUUACUGGGCGUAAAGCGUACGUAGGCGGAUUGGAAAGUUGGGGGUGAAAUCCCAGGGCUCAACCCUGGAACUGCCUCCAAAACUAUCAGUCUAGAGUUCGAGAGAGGUGAGUGGAAUUCCAAGUGUAGAGGUGAAAUUCGUAGAUAUUUGGAGGAACACCAGUGGCGAAGGCGGCUCACUGGCUCGAUACUGACGCUGAGGUACGAAAGUGUGGGGAGCAAACAGGAUUAGAUACCCUGGUAGUCCACACCGUAAACGAUGAAUGCCAGUCGUCGGGCAGGUAUACUGUUCGGUGACACACCUAACGGAUUAAGCAUUCCGCCUGGGGAGUACGGUCGCAAGAUUAAAACUCAAAUGAAUGAAC